rnacentral:lncRNA from 1 species
UUUGCAUGGCAGCGCCCCAGAAAUCCUCCGGCCCCGCGAUCAACACCGACGACAAGGUGGUGUCGAAGAUUGAGGACGCUCAGGAGAUUUGCGCGGGUGAUAACCAGUCGGAGGAGUGCGCUGCAGCAUGGGACGAGGUGGAUGCAGCUGCUAAGGAGAAGGCCAAGACUGACGAUCCCUUGGACAAGUUUUGCAACGACAACCCCGAGGCUGAUGAGUGCCGCGUCUACAACGACUGAGCAAUCUCCUCACCCAGUUGCUUGAAAAUCAAGGGAGCCCCCCCCCCCCCCCCCCCUUCCACCUCCUAGUCAUCUCGUCGUUUCAAUAGUUACAUAGAAGCUCUACUUAACAUUCCAAGUAAUCUAGUUAACUCAGAUAUUCGUAUGGAGAUUCCAUUUUUACUGAUCGUGAAACCAAUUAACGCCAACAAGUAGAUACCACCAGCAUCUAGCUCCUGUCUUGCUGCCUCCAUUCGCGAUGUCGAGAAUCACGAGCCUUCGGUGAGGCAGCGUCUUGUACUCAUCGUCAAACUCCAGAUCAAGUGCCAUUUCUCGUAUUUCAUUGGAAUUUUCUGUCCGGCACCUACUCUAACAUUACCAUGUGUCUCGCAACACCCCAGGGGGAGAGGAGGUAUCAGAGGCGCCGGUAUUCGCAGCUCUCACAGCGGACUGCCCAUACCUUGUGAAGCCUCAUCACCGUGCCGUUCUCAAGCAAAGGUGACUGUAAUGU